rnacentral:lncRNA from 1 species
CAUGAUGGCUUGGAUCGGAAAUGAGUAUGGUGACACCAUUGCUACUGUGACUUGGAAUAAAUGGGGGAUAUAACAACCCCAUUGCUCUUGAGUGCCAAGCCAUCUUGAAUAUGGCCAUUCUUGCAAAGAAGGUGAAAGUUCGGGAUCUGGAGAUAAAAACUGACUACAAAAGUAUAGUGGAGAUGAUUGAUAGAAAGAGGGUAAGUUGAACUAGGUUUG